CCUACGGGAGGCAGCAGUAGGGAAUAUUGCUCAAUGGGGGAAACCCUGAAGCAGCAACGCCGCGUGGAGGAUGAAGGUUUUAGGAUUGUAAAGUCCUUUUGUGAGAGAAGAUGAUGACGGUAUCUCAUGAAUAAUCUACGGCUAAUUCCGUGCAAGCAGCCGCGGUACUACGGAGGGUGCAAGCGUUAUUCGGAAUCACCGGGCGUAAAGAGGGCGCAGGCGGGCUGGUAAGUCAGUUGUGAAAUCCUGUAGCUUAACUACAGAACUGCAUUUGAAACUAUGAGUCUAGAGUAUGGGAGAGGUAGGUGGAAUUCGUGGUGUAGCGGUAAAAUCCGUAGAUAUCAAGAGGAAUACUCAUUGCGAAGGCGACCUACUAGAACGUUACUGACACUGAUGCACGAAAGCGUGGGGAGCAAACAGGAUUAGAUACCCGGGUAGUC
rnacentral:rRNA from 1 species